AUGGUAUGAUGUGGACAUUGUCUCUCUAAUUCCUUCCAUCUCAUCCAUGAUUCAUAGAGAGUUUCACCUUUUCUUGGUCUGAAAGCUGUCAUUUGAUUCCUCAAUUCU